AGUGAACGCUGGCGGUAGGCCUAACACAUGCAAGUCGAACGGCAGCACAGUAAGAGCUUGCUCUUACGGGUGGCGAGUGGCGGACGGGUGAGGAAUACAUCGGAAUCUACUUUUUCGUGGGGGAUAACGUAGGGAAACUUACGCUAAUACCGCAUACGACCUACGGGUGAAAGCAGGGGAUCUUCGGACCUUGCGCGAUUGAAUGAGCCGAUGUCGGAUUAGCUAGUUGGCGGGGUAAAGGCCCACCAAGGCGACGAUCCGUAGCUGGUCUGAGAGGAUGAUCAGCCAUACUGGAACUGAGACACGGUCCAGACUCCUACGGGAGGCAGUAGUGGGGAAUAUUGGACAAUGGGCGCAAGCCUGAUCCAGCCAUACUGCGUGGGUGAAGAAGGCCUUCGGGUUGUAAAGCCCUUUUGUUGGGAAAGAAAAGCAGCAGGUUAAUACCCCGCUGUUCUGACGGUACCCAAAGAAUAAGCACCGGCUAACUUCGUG
rnacentral:rRNA from 1 species